GCGCGAUGGCCAAGUGGUAAGGCGGCAGUCUGCAAAACUGCUAUUCGGGAGUUCGAUUCUCCCUCGCG
rnacentral:tRNA from 1 species